GGAGAGGACCGCGAACACUGGGGAUGCGGAAAGUACGCCGUGGUCUCGGGUAGCUUGAGCCGCUGAUAUUCGGAAGGCCGCGCUGGGCUCGUUUGGCGGGUCGUGGAUGCGAGUUGGACAGUUCUAUAUAAGGUGACGCGCGCCUUGCACAAGAAAAAGAAGACCCUUCGCUACAGUGUCCCUGUUUUGGUGACGGAGGUGGAGAGGUGAGCGCCAGGAGGCCUGAGAAGGUCGUGUUCAGGCAGGAUUCCGGAAGGGGCGGGGCUCUCUGCUGGGCGGGCUGAGGUUACGUGGUACCUGUAAUACGGAAGGCAGAAGUCUGGGAUCCUGGCACCAGCCAGCCAGUGGAUGGAUUGGGAGUGUCUAGACAGCCAUCUUCAUGGAAUGUCUCGUUCCUGAUUGUAAAAGAGAAGGUUUUUAUCAUUAAGUCCUGCCUGAUUAUUCCCGGCAUACAAGGCUGCUUGCAUGGAAGUUAGGAUAGCAAAGGGGCAGCAGAGGAGCAUCGCAAACAAAUCACUAAACAGAUGCCAUUUACUCAGAUCCUUGCUACCUAAGUCCUAACUGUAUUUCCUACACUAAAGGCCGCUCAUACUCUCAAACAAUAAUGUGCCUUGUAGCAAGGCUACAGUACCCAUCUUCCUCACCCCCAGGGCAGAACCACACCUCCAUCCAGCAAUGCUCUGGCCCCUACUCGUCUCUGCAUUGGAUUAUGAGAAAAAGGAGGAAUUGGGCCCCACCCAGAUCCCCCAGGAUCCUUUUUACCAGUUUGGUAUGCCCAUCCCCCAGCUGCUGCAGGUGAUGUUGCUCACAGGUCACACCCUCAUGGUUCUCUGGUAUUCUCACUUGCCCCUGUUUGAAUGAAAUUGCCUCACUAGAAGGUACUUAUUUAGAAGUUAUACCCUGCAGUAAUCCUAGAGAUAUCUGUGGCUGAGACACCAUGUGAGGUCUCUAGAAAGCACCAAAAGGAGAGCCGCAGUGCAGAUAUAAACUGGCCACAGUCAUUGGUCACCACAGUGCUGAUGAAAUGGGCUCAUGAAUGGAAUAGCCCAUGAUGGCAGAAAUAAAGGCUAUGCAUAGGCACAAAAACAUGACAUCGCUCACCAAAGCUGACAUUGCUACAACUGCAACCCUGCCUGUCAACAGCAGAGACUGAUGUUGAACCCCUUCGAUAAUGCAUGAGUUUUUAAGGAGACCACCAGCCACUUAGUGGCACUUGAUUAGAUGAGACUCCUUCCACCUUUGGAAAGGCCAGCAAUUCAUUUUGACUAGGACAGACAUAUUUUAUAAAUGUACAUUUACCUUUUCCUUCCUGCAUUGAUUUGGUCAACACCUCUAUUCAAGGGCUCAUGGAGUAUCUGAUCACUAACAUGGGAUCUUCCACAUAUUGUCACUUCAGAUGAAGGGACCUAAUUUGUAAAAAAAGAUGUUCAGCAGUAGGCCCGAGCCUGUGUGAUUAACUGUUCCGGCUACAUCCCAUAUCAUUCAUACGCUGCUAGCUUGUUAGAGCACUGGAAUGGCCUUUAAGAAACAGCUAAAGCAACAGCUUGGAGAUGAUAUUUUACAAAGAUGGAGCACUCCUUCUGGAUAUAGAAUAUAUAUAUUAAAGCAGAGGUUGGCAAACUGGUUCAAAGGCCAAAUCUCGCUACUGUUUUACAAAUAAAGUUUUAUUGGAACACAAUGAUGCUCAUUUGCAUAUUGUCUAUGGCUUCUUUCAUGCUACAUUGGUAGAGCUGAGUAGUGUCAGAGACUGUAUGAUCCACAGAGCCUAAAAUACUUUAGGCUCUGGCUCUUUACAGAACAAGUUUGCCACUCUUGCCUUAAACCAACGAUCAUUGUAUGGUCCUGUGUUACCGCUGAGAAGAAAGGAAUGAGAAGGAGGACAGCCCUGUUCCAGCAACCUGGGAACUUUUGCUUUUAGUUUCUGAAGCUUUAGGCUCUUUAGUUUAAGAACUAGCAGUCUUUGUUUCUAGAAAGGGGACACGUCCACUAGGGGACACAUUUAUAGUUCUACUAAACUUAGGCUGUGGCUGCCAUUGACAUUUCAGGCUCAUUGUGCCAGUAGACCAGCAAGAAGAGAAAAGAGUUAACCAUAUUUGAAGGAGUAAUUGACUGAUAAUCAUGAAGAGGUAGGGUUGCUGCUACAUAAUGGUGGUAGGGAAGAAUAUAUUUAGCACUCAUUGUGAGCCACUGGCGUAUCUCUUAGUACUCUGAGCCCAGUUUUCACUGUAAAUCGGCAAGUAGAGCUCAUCUGUCCAGACAGCAGCAUGAUAACCAAACUCUCAGACCCCUCAGGUGACACCACCAGGAAAGUUACCUAAACCAACAGAAUGCCGGCUCAGGAAUAGAGAAUGGUUAGUAAAGGAAAUAAUCAGUAUCUGUUCUGACCUCAGGACCAGCUGCAGCAUGGAGGCUGUAGUUUCAUCUCACUAACUUUUCUAUUAAGUUUUCCUAGAAAUUUUGAUCAACCAGCAUCCUGGGAGACGGUAUAAAAGAAUGGAGUGAAAGAAAUGUGCAAAGCAAGUGGACCUGAAUUAUACAAGGGGUGGAGCAUAGCAGACAAUAUUGGUGCUCUGUCCAGACUGCCUGGGUUUCAUUUUUUGCUUUCGAAUGCUCAUUCUUCUCCAGCUGCUGCAUGUGAUGCUGCUAAUGGCUUACACCUGCAACAUUUUCAAGAGGCUUGCCCUUGGUAGAUUGGAGCAACAUUACCGGGAGAUGUCUGGAAGUUAUGCACUACUCAUCCCUGUAACAAUCUGUAAAUGGUGACUGCCUAGUGCCUCAUUCCUUAUAAUGCAAGAAAGACCAUGGCGCAGUGUGUACAUCAGAGCUCCUGGAGAUUUCAGGCUGAGGCUACACUGAGCUGAAACCAGUCUUGCUUUGCUUUUUCUCUUGGUUGCUUCUGUUUUCCCUCAUUUUCUUAAAAGAUUUUUUUUUUUAAUACAGUUAGGAGGAUGGACUUUAAAAGAUGUUGUUGAUGUGCUCAUUGGUCUAAAACAGGCAGCCCAUGGGUGUGUUUGGCCCAAGAUUGCUCAUGUAAUUAUGUAAUUUCUCUCAAUAAAAAACUUGAUUAUAUCUUU